AGGAUGAACGCUGGCGGCGUGCCUAAUACAUGCAAGUCGAGCGGUAAGGCCACUUCGGUGGUACACGAGCGGCGGACGGCUGAGUAACACGUAGGAACGUACCCCAAACUGAGGCAUAAGCACCAGAAAUGGUGUCUAAUACCGCAUGUGCUCUUCGGAGUAAAGCUACGGCGGUUUGGGAACGGCCUGCGCAUGAUUAGCUUGUUGGUGAGGUAAUGGCUCACCAAGGCGACGAUCAUUAGCUGGUCUGAGAGGAUGAUCAGCCAGACUGGGACUGAGAACGGCCCAGACUCCUACGGGAGGCAGCAGUAGGGAAUUUUCCACAAUGGACGAAAGUCUGAUGGAGCAACGCCGCGUGCAGGAUGAAUGCCUUCGGGUUGUAAACUCCUGUCAUUGGGGAACAAGUCGCUUACGUUAACUGCGUGAGCGUUGAUAGUACCCGAAGAGGAAGAGACGGCUAACUCUGUGCCAGCAGCCGUA
rnacentral:rRNA from 1 species